rnacentral:lncRNA from 1 species
GGCUGGCUGCGCUGGCUGCCGCCGCUGGGCCGCGGGGAAAGAAGUGGGCCGGGCGCGGGGGAGGGGAAGGCUCGGCUGCGGCCUGGCUUCCAAGGAGGUUUCCUCUUUUUUUAUUUUCUUUUCUAUUUUCUAAAGCCUUUUCCAAAACAUUAUGAAUGCAAAAUAAGUUCUCACCAGAACAACAAGCAUAGAAUAAAAUGUUUUCCAGCAUGAAUGCACAAUCAAGUUGACUAAACUUAUGAUGAGUUUUAAUAUUCACAAAAUUAUUUGUUUGCUAGAUUCAAAUGCCCACAACAAUACUUAAAUAAAUCAAAUUAAUUCCUAUUAAUUGAAAUCAAAAUUUUGGGUGUUACAUUGUAGCUUAUACACUUGUUUUUAAUAAAUGUCAAUAGGUGGCAGCAAGCCAUAUUUUCUGGGCUUUUAUAAUGUGUUGUAUAAUAAUUUAUCCCCAAGUUGGCAGCUUAUGCAAUGCUUGUUUUAAUAAUUUUCCCAUUUAAAUUGCAACUUAUAUCUUAUUUUUGGCCAUUAUUUUUUUAGAGAUUAGUAUCUUUAUGUAAAUACCACAUAACAAUGUUAUAUUCCCAUAGUAACAAUUGAUGUGCGUAUUAUGUAAGAACUUCAAUAUAUUUUUCAGUAACAGUUUUAGUACUUCAUGGUAAUAACUUUUUUGAUAAAUCUUUUAGCACAUAUUUACAUAUAAGGUCAGUCUCAAUCGAAGUUUCAAGUGAGUUUUAUUUGCAUUAAAUAAUUUAUCACAGAGGCA